CACGUAGGGGGCAAGCGUUGUCCGGAAUCAUUGGGCGUAAAGCGCGUGUAGGCGGCUGGGUAAGUCCGCUCUGAAAGCCCGGGGCUCAACCCCGGGAGGCGGGUGGAUACUGCUCAGCUCGAGUCCGGAAGAGGAGUGUGGAAUUCCUGGUGUAGCGGUGAAAUGCGCAGAUAUCAGGAGGAACACCAAUAGCGAAGGCAGCUCGCUGGGACGUCACUGACACUGAGGCGCGAAAGCGUGGGGAGCGAACAGG
rnacentral:rRNA from 1 species